GAAAGGUUGGGAGUUCACAUGCCAUCGAUCGUAUCAGACUUGUCAGCGCAACAGAUAGAAAACUGUGCCACACAGAAAUGGGACACUGAACAGACAGGGCAAGGGAAACACAAUAUAAAUCUAUUUAUUCAGUAGUCAAUGUCUCGUUUCAUUUUGUUAUUAUACAGUACUUUUCUUGAAUUUUUUAUCAUGGAUUUCUUGGACAAUUAAAAUAUUGGAGUGAAGUGACCGUUAUUCCUAUUUCCGACCAUGUCCAGCUUUCACAAUUACACCUUUACUCUGUAUUCUUGUAGUUGUGUUCGAGCAGCAUGGUGGUACGUAGCCUCGUCGGUUACAUCACAGCACUCUAUGCUCUUCUUCCGGCUUUUGUGACUUUCCUGGUUGAUGGUACUUAAAAGCAGUGUCGUUCUAUCCGAACUCAGUAGUAUCUAAGGUCAAACCACUUAUCAUCAGCUCUUCACCUGAUAAGAGACUCUGUUCGCUGACGAGGUGAGGUGAUCUCUAAAUUGCUGUUCGCGAAAGACUUCCAUUACAUCUGCGCUCUCGUGUUUGGAAGCGGGACUCCGCUGGACUCAUUCACCCGCCCUCGCAGGAAUGCAGAUAUCUGAUGCGAUCCCACAGCAGAUUUAACAUCCCGAACGUGGUCUCCAAGCACUUGGGGGGUUCAAGACUAUGCAGUUGUGAUACUCUGCGCAGACCAGGGAACUCGCUCGAGAAGAGUCGGCCAUUAAAACAGACAAGAAUGGCAGCAGUUGGAGAGGUUCAAACAGCGUUUAUGGAAAGAUUGAAAUCUGUGUAUAUAUGCUUUGAGGAAUAGCACGAUUUUUUAAACGGAGAAAAUGAAGAUCUCUUUGCUACAGCUGGGCUAUAAAUCAGGAACCCUGGUGGGUUUUUUCCUUGCCUUUUUUUUUGGAAAGGGGGGGGGGUAUCUCCACACAUUUGAUGCAUAGCUUUAAUGCUAGAGACUUUCUAAAAACUAGAAGCUUCGUUGCUAUUUGCGGAACAGGGAAAGCUGAUAAUAAUAAUAAUACCCUUCGAUUAACAUUUUACACCUUCAAGCGAACUAUUUUUACCGCUUCUAUCUCUGACCUUUUUCUUGUCAUAAGAAAUCAUAAUUUUUAGAAAGUCUAGAAUUAAGGCACUUGAUGAGCACAAAAAUGAGGUAAAUAUUCGUUGGAUAAACACUAUAAAGUAAUGUUGCAAGAUUAAAAUCUUAUAGUAACCAUGGUACUUGCACGCUUUUUGUUCUUUGUUGUUUUUUCCCCUUCUUUUUUUACGCAACUCACUUAACGUGGAUCUUCGUCCAAACUACAGUAAGGCUUAAACCACAGAAAUCUUAAGCUCAACAAAAUCAGCAGUUGGAAAUUUCGGGAGUGGAAAUACAGGGGGCUUUUUAAGAAGGUUGGUUGUGGGGGGAGGGACAAACAAGGGAAGAGAGAGGCGAUAAUAAUGAGGGCGGGGACGUUAGUGCCAAAAAGAAAAAAGAAAAAAAGGAAAAAAUCAGGGCCAUAAAGAUAGGUCUGGGAGAAGGAGGAUGGAAAGAAAGCAUAGGAGUGGGAAGGAAGAUUGACAGGAUAACAUUGACGCCCAUGAUAAUGAACGACCUGGAGAGACGUAAGUGGGAGUGGUGAAAAGUCACAGAAAUGCAGUAUGUGAGAGAAGCAGAUCGUCGUUUUGCAUCUGUCCAGUGCACUAGAGCGCCAGUGCGCUUUUAUACGUCAGUGUGUUAUCAUAAGCUUCGUGUGUGUGCGUGUAUGUGUAUGUGGUUGUGAUACAAGAAUACAUUCGUGUUUAUAAAUAAAUCUGUAAAUACCUCUCUCG
rnacentral:lncRNA from 1 species